UAACAUGGGGCGUGGCCAAGAUCGCCCCUCCCCCACACACACUUUCGCCUCAGUUUUAUUUCACGCGUGUGAGUCCGCAAUCGACUCGCUGUGUCGUGCGUCUCAACACAUUGAUUGGCAAAACAAAGUAUCUUCGUCUCUCCCCAACACGCCUCUCCCCUCCUCCCCCGCCGCCGCCCAGAGAGUCGCUUAAGACAAGGGAAGAGGACACGGGGACAAGGAGAUGGUGCGCGACGGCGUUCCAAUGGGAGCAGCAUCGCAGCGGAAGGGAUCCCCCUGAGCCGCCGCAGAACAGACGUGGACAUUUCUGAAAAAAAGAGCUUCAUAGCUCAUCGGAUUUCUCCAGGAUGAAGAAAGAAUCUGAUGUACCUCUCGCCACUGAUUUUCGCCAUGGCUGGUAUUCAGACUUGGACCGCAGGGUUCAAAGCGCAGUGGAUGAACUACUGCACAACCAAAGAGAUGCUUACAUUUGGGACAGAAAUGUGUGAUCAAGAUAAGUCUUGUUCAUUGCCUUGCUGAAAACAUCUCUUGUGUUGUGAGUAGCUGAAUAUGAGUAGUAGAGAUAGUGCAAGUUCAAUUAUGAUAGCACUUGUAAGAGCCCGUUAACAAGAACUGCAUUAGUAUUGUAAUUGGUGCAGCAGAGAUGCUUUGAGUGCACAUCUGGCAAGGCUAUGCCUUUAAAUAAGCAACUGUUGUAUAUAGCAUGUAACAAUUAUCAUAAAUGUACCUUAAAAUUGUAUUUUUCUUUUAUUUAAAGUUAAAACAUUUAAGUUUAUACACAAUCGUUAUCCUGUAUCACAUUUUGUGACCCCUGCAUUUCAAUGCCGUGAACAUUAUUUCUAUACAUAUCACCAAGUUAAUUGCAUUGUACAGGUGUUUCAGAUUUGUCUUGUUUGGAGGACAUUAUGCUUGAUCUUUUUGGUGUGAUGAGUGGUAUUGCCCUCAGUUGCCAUUACCCCUACUCUGGCCACUGUGGUAUAUUCCAGGCUGCAGUGUCGAUGUGAAUGGGUUUUGCCUGCUACAGUCAAGAGCUGCAAUGAAAGCCUAAUUGUAAAUGCUAUAAUCAGCUGUUUGUCAUUUACGGUUCAUGUUGAUCUAAAAAAACAGGGUGUUUUGCCUGGAGACAUUUAUUUUAUGCUGGGUAUGUAUAACAAUGUUUCGUAAUAUUGCUCUUGCAAUUCAGAAGGACUUAUUUCUGUAUUGUCUCUAUGACAUUGAUCAACAUUGCUGAAUGUAUUGCAGUAAUGACUUGCUUCAUGCGCCGGAUGUUUUUUUCUUGUUCACUUUUUGGUGAAAAUGUGCCUCUAUAUCUGUCAGGACCGAUGGGUGAAAAAAUCCUCAAAAUUACAUCAAUCAAGCCCUUAAAUGUGUAGGUAUACUUGUGUAUCAAAUGUUAACCUUAUUCAACAUUUCUAUUCGUAUGCAUUUACAAUUUUAGUGUUUUUAUUCGUUAAUAUUUACUUUAUAGAGUGCGCAUACGAGGCUUUGGGUUGAUUCUUAGAUUUCACAUGUAGACAAGGACUGUGUCCACAAUGUUGCUGGGUUGUUAAUGUUUGCUCCGGUUUCUGCAGCCCGUUUCGGUGCCUGUCCCGCCACUGCGUGUGAGUGUGUGGUGAUUGGUGGUGGGGGGGAGAUAUAAUCCCGUGUACAGUGUCGUUACCCGAGCCACACAAUAUAGCAAGGUGAAGCAGUAACUAGAGCGCAGUAGGGCUCUGCAUGGCCAUUGCCAUGCAGAGUAGUUAAACGUGUUGUAAACACGCAGCCUUGGUGGGAGCUGCUUUUCUGCCGUCCGUUCUAAUCACGUAAAAAAUGUACCCGUAAAAGCAAAGUUUUUCACUAUAAAUCCUUUAUAUGCGUGGCGGCUAGAGUCCUCUCGUCCUCUGGCUUGAGAUGGCUGCCACCUAUGGGUCAGAUGAUUGUCUGCCAGUAUUAAGCAAUUGGUAAUUAAAUAUUUAAUUUGUUUUCCCUAAACAGUGUAACAUUUUGGAAAAAAAAUUUCACGAAAAUUAAUUGUCUCGCACAACGAGCCUGUGUGCAAAAUGUCAGCUCGAUUGGAUCACGGGAAGUGGGUUAAAAAACGACCGAAAGAUUUGCACGGUCGUAAGCAAGCAAGCAAGCACGCACGCAAGCAAGCAAACUUAAUAUAAAGGAUUUAAAAAGAGCAACUCGGAAGAGUUGCUGCAAUUCUUGACCUGUCCACUUGAUAGGUCGUAGCAGCAUUGUCUCGUGAUUUAUAGUGCAAAAAAAAGCCCGAAUGUUGGACCGGUAUUUUGACAUGUGCAGCAUUAAGAUCUGUCCAUAAUAAAGGUUUUAUGGGUGAGGUCGCGUAUGUCAUUAACCAACCACCCUACUCGACACAUUGAAUUCAUCAAGUUUGUCACGUAAACUAAACGUAGCAAUUAGUUACUACUUCAGUUCACCGAAAGCCUGUGUCUUAAACCAAGAUCUGUGUUGGAAUUAGUGUGUGAAUGCACGCUACAGUUAAUCAUUGUCAGCCAAUAUCUGUCUAUUGCUCGAUGAUGGCCUUCCAAAGCAGGUUGCUAUUGUGCUCUUGGUCUUGUGAUGUGCACAUGAGCUCAUUUCAUUGCUCCGUCUCCAAAGUGAAUAUCCCCUCCAGCAUGUUUCCUCCUUUGCUUGGCACUUCCUCAUGAGUCCCGAAGACCGGCCAUCAUCUCUUGCAGUGAUGUGUCCUGCUUUA